UACGGAGGGGGCGAGCGUUAUUCGGAAUCAUUGGGCGUAAAGGGCGCGUAGGCGGCCAGGCAAGUCAGGGGUGAAAUCCCUCGGCUCAACCGAGGAACUGCCUCUGAAACUGCCUAGCUCGAGGCCGGGAGAGGGUAGUGGAAUUCCCAGUGUAGCGGUGAAAUGCGUAGAUAUUGGGAGGAACACCAGUGGCGAAGGCGGCUACCUGGACCGGUUCUGACGCUGAGGCGCGAAAGCGUGGGGAGCAAACAGG
rnacentral:rRNA from 1 species